rnacentral:rRNA from 1 species
AUUGAACGCUGGCGGCAUGCCUUACACAUGCAAGUCGAACGGCAGCACGGGUGCUUGCCCCUGGUGGCGAGUGGCGAACGGGUGAGUAAUACAUCGGAACAUGUCCUGUAGUGGGGGAUAGCCCGGCGAAAGCCGGAUUAAUACCGCAUACGAUCUACGGAUGAAAGCGGGGGACCUUCGGGCCUCGCGCUAUAGGGUUGGCCGACGGCUGAUUAGCUAGUUGGUGGGGUAAAGGCCUACCAAGGCGACGAUCAGUAGCUGGUCUGAGAGGACGACCAGCCACACUGGGACUGAGACACGGCCCAGACUCCUACGGGAGGCAGCAGUGGGGAAUUUUGGACAAUGGGCGAAAGCCUGAUCCAGCAAUGCCGCGUGUGUGAAGAAGGCCUUCGGGUUGUAAAGCACUUUUGUCCGGAAAGAAAUCCUUGGCCCUAAUACGGUCGGGGGAUGACGGUACCGGAAGAAUAAGCACCGGCUAACUACGUG